rnacentral:piRNA from 1 species
UCUCAAUGGAGGGCCUUAUCUGGGUAAA